UGUCAAAGGAUGGGAAUCGAACCCACAGUGUUCCGCUUACCGGGCAGAUGCCAUGUCCACUAGGCUACCCUGGAC